UGUGUGUGUGUGUGUGUGUGUGUGUGUGUUGCAGAGGAGAUGCACGCAGAGAUCUGCUACGCUGAGUGUCUUCUGCAGAAAGCCACGCUGACCGUUGUUCUGGAUGGAAACAU